rnacentral:lncRNA from 10 species
CAUCAUCAAGCAGCGAGCAGCAGCAGAAGCGUUGAAGGGAGAGGAGGCAUCGGGACAGGCCCCUCUUAGGAGAGGAUUUAUAUCUAGGUGGAAAAAAAAAGAAAGAAAAGAAAAAGAAGAAAAAGAAGAAAAAAAUUGUCAAGCCCCCGAACUGAAGGUUACGAGCGGCCCGUCAGCAGCCCACAUGUAACCGAACUGUCGUGUUUCAUGGCUUUUUGCCACUCCAGCUGUCAAUCAAAGCCCGGAAUGUCAAGGUAGUGAAUGAAUGAUGGUUGAUGAUGAUGAAGAGGAGGAAUCUUUCAGACCCGUUUUUUUCUUC